GGCGCCACCGCCCCCCGCCACAAUGGCGCCCCCCCGGCGCGGCCCGGCCCGGCGCGGCCCCACCUGCGGCAGGCGCAGCAGGAUGCCGGCCGCCUGGAUCAGCUCGCAGCCCAGGAUGCGCAGGUACAGUCUCCAAAGCUGAGCAGUGAACUGCAUUGGCAGAGGAUGGGCAAAGCUGGAAUGAAGGUAACACCAGUUCUCCAAUAAACCUCAUGGGAGAAGAGCUGUAGGGUAUCCAGAAACCUCCAUCCUGGUGGGUAAGCGAACCACCUCCGUCCUGAACAUCCCCUGAGGAUUUUACAGGUUUGUCAGCAAAUGUUUCACUGGAGGAAAUACAAGAGCAGGCUUUUGGCAAAUAGCUGCAAAUUGCAACAUGCAGAUACCUUCACAGAAGGGAUUUGUUUGGAAAAACGAGAAUCUGUGAUGGCAGAAACAUCUGAUUUCCUUUGAGAAUGAGGUCGGUAUAUAAGAAGACAAUUUGACAGGCUAUUAGGCAGUAAAAUGUUUUGACAGUAGGUGAUACCUGAAAGUUUCUGCUGUCAUAUCAAAUAGAUCAGUUUAAGAGAAUGGGGAAUGUUACUGAAUUAAUUUACCCAUUGCAUUCAAAUAAUUUUUCAUUUCAGAGAUUUUGGAUUUUUUUUAAAUCAGAUCUUGCAGGAGAUCAGUUUCUAUUCUUCAAAUUGAAUCUGAUAAACUAACGACAUAUCUGUAAGAAUUAUAGACAGAACCUGUGUUACAGAACCUGACUGCAGAGACACUCACAGUGUGGAUCACAUACAGGGUUGGCAGUGGUAUGAAAGAGCUUGGCACCAAAGCUGUGGCAAUGCAGUUUACUCAGGCUGGAGAAAUAAAGCUUUACUCUGUCAGAAUAAGACUUAAAGAAGAAUUAGGUAGGUGCUUCUAUAGAAGACUUAUAGAGACUGCAAGUUUGGACUCUAAAUUAACAGUUCAGAGAAACAAGGGUUAUUUGAAAUGGUGGUUACAUUCAACUCUUACUAGUUUUGAAGGAGAAAAGAGGAAUUCAGUAGUUACAUCCUGCAACUUGUACCAUGAAUGACUUGGUACAAAACCAAAGGCGUGAUUAUGAGCACAGCCCGUUGUACAAAUGUUUCUCUGUUUCAUGGUAACCAUUUCUUUACCUUCUAUUCUCGUUUUGUUGGUUUCAGUGCAUUCCUCGUCUCUUGCUGGUGAAGCCACUGCUGGUGUUGAGCUUUAAUGCCUUUAAGUCUGUACCACAAAAACGUCAGUGAGCCUUUCCUACCAUCUGAUCGUGUGUUGGAGAGCAGCAGUUUGGUGCAUUUUCAGAUUGGGCAUCGUGCUUAACGUCCUUUUGAUUCCAGCCUGUCUUCCAGCGUGUUCAAAACUCACACUUGCUUCUCCCAUUGAGUUGCAUCAAGAUAAAACAAGUGGAAUUUAUCAGAUCUUACCAUCACCAGACAACGCCGUGGAGGCAGCAGACAUUCAGAUGCAGAUCAGAGAGAGCGUUUCAUCUGCAUGCACGUUAUUUGACUGAAGUGAACUGGUUUGAGAACUGGCAUUAAAAUACCAACACUGGCAGUUAAUGCUCCAGCCUUUGAACAGCAGCAGGCAGCUUCAGAGGAAGGGCAGGGCUGGUGGCAGCACCACCACUGCUGUUUGCUCAUACAGCUCUGACUGCUCUCUGUACUCACCAUCCUCCAAGUAAAGACACAGGAGCCAAAUUGGCUCCAAGAAGCAGUUUCUGUUCACCCUGGCUCUGACUCAGCCCCCUCCAAGGGCCAGCAGUGCCACCUACCAGCUCUUGGAGUGGGGAAAUGAGCAACAAGUCUUGGUCUUAUCUGCACCGAGUGAUCACACCAUGCUUUUAGAAAGCAAUAUGCUUCGCAUGUGUGCUGGCACACACAUCUGCCUCAGCUCCAUCCUGGGAACAUUGCUGUCACUGAUAGCAUUUCCAUCUGGAAGUAGGAGAACUGGGAUAACAUCAAAUGGCAGAAAGUGAUAUAGAGCUUCGGGGAGGUGCCCUGAGCUCACAGCACAGCCCUGUGCUUUGGUGAGAGGCUCUUGUACCUGGUGCUGUAGCAGAAGACCUGAGCAGUUCGUUCUUUACACUGCACACCUCUCCAGAGCUGAUCCUCCACGUGCAGAUGUGCUUCUCGCAGAUUAACACCACCAACCAGUUUGUAGCUGCAGGCAUGCGAGCAAAAAGGCAAAGGGUCAAAGCUCCAGCCUGGAAUAAAUCACAGUGAGCCACUAACACGCAGUGUGAGCAGAAACGAGCAGCAGGGGAGAUGGAAAAGAACAGGCUGUGUCCUGACAGGCAGACCUCAGCAAGACAGAUUUAGCUCUCGUUCAGCCAGGAGGAUAUUUGUCACUGCAAGGACAGGCCUGCAUUAUUUUUAGUGGAUGCAUCAUGAGUCCGCAGCUUUAAAGGACAGCGAAAGAAAGAUCAGCUUGUCUGGUGAGGGCUUAUCCUGUUCUCUCAGAGCACACACAGCCCUGAGAAGCCGAGGAAUGUGUCAGUACAUACAAGACACCAUGUGCUGCUUCAAGUACCACGCCUGCUUUUAUUGCUGCUAGCUGUGACACUAGCAGUCAGCAAACCCUGACAUCACACGUGCUGUCCUUACCCUGGGCCAUGCGCACAGCAGCGUGCCUGCAGGCUGAGCCCGACGGAGCACUUCCCGAUAAAACACACUGGAGUUUGAAAAAGAUGGUCUUGCUUUCUACCGGUCCACGUGGCCCCAGCUGUGACACGGCACUCAGCCCUGCAGUCACCUUGCUGCACAGCAGGAGAGGUGAUUCCCUCCUCUUGCCGCCAGCACUGUGUGCUGCAGCCACGCAGCAGAGCGAGGCCGUGCUGCUGGGUGCUGUGAGCUCAGGGAGGCUCCGUGCCGUGCUGGGAGCCGCAGAACCACAUCCUGCACGGGGCCUGAGCAAUAUCUGAUAGACUCACUGCGCCAGCUUGCAAACGUCUCGGUGCGAUCAGUGAGCAGCUUUGCCAGGUGUUUCCCCUACAGCCAGAUACAGUCAGCGCUGAGACGCUUCAUCUCACGUAAAUCAAGCGUAUCUGUCACCACUUUGUCCAUUUGCGUAUCGGAAUUGAUGGCUCAGGAAGAGCUGCGUGCCACCAGAGCACCUCCGAGUGCUGUGCCCGUGUUAGGUCAGGAGGGCUGCUGUGCGCCCUCCUGACCUGCAGCUGCUUGCUUGCAGUGGGUGCUCCCCUUUCCGAAGGGGCAGUGCGCCACCUAGCGGGCUGGAGCCGCACUGCAGGGGGGGUGCGGUGCUGCGGAGCACGGCCAGCCGAGGGACGGGGAAUUAAAGUGCUAACAUAUGGGCAGGAUGCUUUGUUUUACUGAGAUAACCAUCAGACGUCACCUCUGAUUGAUCGCGAGGUGCUUACAAAUAAAAGGAGCUGCCAACAACAAGCUAUCUGUCCUUGCAGCGCUGAGAAAACUGACCCAAACGCAAGCAGGGUGCACAAUGGGAAUAAGGGAUAGCAAGCAAGGAGCUCCCUCCAGAACUAUUAUCCAUCAGCCCACAGUGCUCGCUAGGACAGACAGCAGUGCAGGACCCUGGGCCAGGAGGGUCUCCAUGCUCUUUCCCAGAGUUCAAGUGAAAAACACUGAAGAAUGGCUUACAGAAGACAAGCUUUAUUACUGACCUUUUACCCAGCAGGAGGCAGCACUUCGUUACAAAAAAAUAACCCAAACCUCACAAUCAAAACUGGGAACGUUUUGCUGAUUGCCUGUCUCAGCAGCUGUGCAAAGCCUAUCUGCUUUUAGCUUCAAAUGUAAACGUGUUAUCAUUAGGGCUAGAAAAAAGGCUUUUGGACUUCAUUCUGAAGCAGAACAGAACUCAUGCUGGCUCUAUGCUGCCUCAAAUGGCACCAGACUUUUGUUUCGGUGUUACAGUGUAAUCAGUGGAAGUGAUCAGCAUGGUCAAUUAACUUCUUUUAAGCCUCUUUGUGUAUAUUAUUAUGUAUAUAUAUGUAUAAAUGUAUACUUCAUGCAGCUGCUGGUCAGGGUGCCCCAAGCACAGCUCCCCAUUUCAGUACAGCCUCAGUGCCCCCAGCAGCCCCCCUCCACCCAUGGUGGGUUUUCAAAGAGCCCAGGCAGGCCAUGCAGUGGCUCUCCCCAGGUGACUGCCCAGCUUUCAACCAACCAUUCAACCAUUUCAACCAUUCCCAGCCUGGAUCUAACAGCCUUACGUUGAGGGGAGCUUUACCUGUUGGACAUUUCCAGCUUUUAAGCCCACAUUCAGGUUCAUCUUCCAGAAUACCACGUAAGAAAGAGAGCCAACAACCCCAACCUAUUGCCUGUGCUCCAGCUGCAGGUUUGUUAGCCCAGCCAGCUGCAGCUCGUUAGCCAGAUCCCUCCACUGGCUCAGGCACUCACUCCUUGUACCUACCCUGAGUCAGGCUGCUCUUGGAGAGCUGAGAAAGGCUAUUUUGCUCUGUCAUUAACUGGAAAUUUCAGGAAAGUUUUGGCAAAGUCCAUCUGGCCUCCCUGCAGUGCUUUUUUUUUUUUUUUUUUAACCAAGUCAUGAUUUGGGAUGCUGCUAUGAUUAAUGGGGCAUGCAUUGCAUUAGCUCAUGUGUCAGGGCAAAUAAGUGGUGUCCCCAGUGGGCCAUCCCUGGCCUGUCACAUCUCAGCCUGUCUGAGCAGCCUGUUAACAUUCAGCAGGCUGCUGAAACCCGCUGGUGAACAAGGGGCGUUGCUGGCACUUUGGGACUUCCCAUCAAGAUGUGUUUGUUAAUCCAAAUUGGCAGAGCCAAAACAACAGGCACACAGCUGGAUCUAUCCUAAAAUGAAUGGCUCCUGUGGGAAAUGCAUGCACCCGCAGUGCUGGCGUUCUGUGCUGCAGGCCCUUGCUGCACUGCACUGGUGUGUGGGAAUAACAUGAACAUCCAUGGCAGCUCUUCUUUCCUUCCCCUCUCCAUCCUGUAUUUCACAGAAUCACAGAUCCAAAGUUCCAGUUUGUGCCCGUUGCCCCUUGUCCUCUUGCUGGGCAGUGCUGAUAAGAGCCUGGCCCCAUCCACGUGGCUCCUGCUCUUUGUAUAUUAUAAAUACUGAGAAGACCCAUUUCUCAGCCUUCUCCUCCCCAGGCUGAACAGUGCCAGUGCUCUCAGCCUUUCCUCAUCAGGAGGUGCUCCAGGCUUCUCUGCAGCCCUCCAAUGGACUCUCUGCAGCAGUUCCCUGCCUGCCUUGAACUGGGGAGCUCAGAACUGGGCCCAGUGCCCCAGAUGUGGCCACACCAGAGCAGAGCAAAGGGGAGAAGAGCCUCCCUCACCUGCUGGCCACACUCUUUGUAAUGCACCCAGGAUACCAUUGGCCUUCUUGGCCACAAGGGCACAUAGCUGGCUCACUGUCAACCAUUGGUCAACCAGGACCCCCAGGUCCUUCUCCACAGAGCUCCUUACCAACAGCUCAGCCCCCAACCUGUACUGAGGUGUUGUUAUUCCUCCCCAGGUGUAGGACUCCACCCUUGCCCUUGUUGAAGCUCAUCAGAUUCCUCUCCACCAAACUCUCGCACAUGUCCAUGCCUUGCUGAAUGGCCAUACUGGCACAUCAGCCACCCCUGCCAUCCACAUAUCACCAGCAAACCUGCUGAGGGUGAACUCUAUCCCUUCAUCCAGGUCACUGAUGAAGAUACUGAACAAGGCUGGGCCCAGUACCACCCCCUGGGGAGCACUGCUACCUGCAGGCCGCCCAGACUCUGCUCCCUGGGCUCUCCAGCAGCCUGGUGCUGCACACAGGGCUGCAGGCACUGCAUGGCACUGUUCACUGCUCACUGCCAGCGCCCUUGCAGCCAUCCUGCCUGCUGCUGAUGCCUUCUGAAUAUUCACACCUGUCCCAGAGAGCCUCCCCACCAAGUGAACAGCGUGCAGAUGGCUGCCUCCACCAGCAGCUCUGCUGUCACCAGCCCAGUGUUCCCAAAGCAAAUCGAUGACCUCUGCCUGCACAUCAGUCCCAGCGUCCAGGUGCUCGCCUUCAUUAAUCACAGUGCAAUCUCCGAGGUGGGAAGGCAAGGGCUAAACUUUUCAAAGAAUAAAUGAAAAGAGGAGUGGAGUAGAGAAAGUGACAAAUACAGGUCAUGUUGUACAGAUAUUAGAGCUGUAGAUGUAAAGGGAGGGAGCAGUAAAAAUUCAGGAGGCCCUCUAUCUCCUUCAGGAUGAGAGAAAAUACUUGUUUUGUUCCUUUUUUAUCAGGGUUGUGCUCCGUAUGGGUAUUACAGCAGGUGGUUUGGGGCUCUGUGCUGCUCAUUGUGCCUGAAGGAGUCAGAAGAAUGGAUGAAAGAAAGUCCUGAGAGCCCUUUGAUGAACCUAGAGGUCAUUUCCAGCCCAGUCCGUUCUGGGAGUCUCUCAUUCUAUGAAUUGCAAUGCUUAGCUACAACUUUCAGGUAAAAGAGUUAGGCAACGUCCUGCUGUUAAACACAGCAUCCUCCCCAUCACAGCCCCUCCCAGCAGCCUUAUGGGCUUCAGAGCUCGGUACCAACACUGAUAUCUGACACAUGGCUUUUAUUUCUCCUUUCAUCAUAGUACGUACAACAGGCUGUGGAUAAAACCAUUGUG
rnacentral:lncRNA from 1 species